rnacentral:rRNA from 1 species
UACGUAGGGUGCAAGCGUUAAUCGGAAUUACUGGGCGUAAAGCGUGCGCAGGCGGUUGUGUAAGACAGAUGUGAAAUCCCCGGGCUCAACCUGGGAACUGCAUUUGUGACUGCACAGCUGGAGUGCGGCAGAGGGGGAUGGAAUUCCGCGUGUAGCAGUGAAAUGCGUAGAUAUGCGGAGGAACACCGAUGGCGAAGGCAAGCCCCUGGGCCUGCACUGACGCUCAUGCACGAAAGCGUGGGGAGCAAACAGG